rnacentral:rRNA from 1 species
UACGUAGGGUGCAAGCGUUGUCCGGAAUCAUUGGGCGUAAAGAGCGUGUAGGCGGCUUGGUAAGUCCGCUGUGAAAGUCCAGGGCUCAACCCUGGAAAGCCAGUGGAAACUGUCAAGCUAGAGUCCGGAAGAGGCGAGUGGAACUCCUGGUGUAGCGGUGAAAUGCGCAGAUAUCAGGAAGAACACCAAUGGCGAAGGCAGCUCGCUGGGACGGUACUGACGCUGAGACGCGAAAGCGUGGGGAGCAAACAGG